rnacentral:rRNA from 1 species
AACGAACGCUGGCGGCAGGCCUAACACAUGCAAGUCGAGCGAGGACUUCGGUUCUAGCGGCGGACGGGUGAGUAACGCGUGGUAAUGUGCCCUUCUCUACGGAAUAGCCCUGGGAAACUGGGAGUAAUACCGUAUACGCCCUAUUGGGGAAAGAUUUAUCGGAGAAGGAUCAGCCCGCGUUGGAUUAGGUAGUUGGUGGGGUAAUGGCCUAACAAGCCGACGAUCCAUAGCUGGUUUGAGAGGAUGAUCAGCCACACUGGGACUGAGACACGGCCCAGACUCCUACGGGAAGGAGCAGUGGGGAAUCUUAGACAAUGGGGGCAACCCUGAUCUAGCCAUGCCGCGUGAGUGAUGAAGGCCUUAGGGUUGUAAAGCUCUUUCAGCUGGGAAGAUAAUGACGGUACCAGCAGAAGAAGCCCCGGCUAACUCCGUG